rnacentral:lncRNA from 1 species
AUGGCAGUUGCAAGAAGGACCACACCUUGUACCACAACACAUGAUGGAAGCAAACCAAAGAAAAAAAGAAUUACGGCAACUUCCAGUCUCACUUCAGAUGAUGAUGAAACACAGAUUGACCCAUCACGAGUUCUUCAAACAAAUAAGCCGAAGAUGACAAAGGCUGCAAAAGACCGAGCCCUUGCCCAACUGAAAUCCUCGCUGCUGAGAAGAAAGCAAACAACCUCCACCCCCUUGACAAAUGAAGACGAUACAGACAUAGACACCAAUGUGGACUUAUUUGACCCACCUCAGGCUUCGGGAUCAAGUGACCUCUCCCAAGGGGAAAGUGAAGAGGAGAGUGUCCUGAUGGAUCAGCCCAGAUCCAGUGUUGGCAUGCAACAGGAAGUGAUGGAUGCUCUGAAAGAAAUACCAGCCUUAGUCAAGUGUGUCAAAGAUCUUAUUGCAACCAUGAAGAGAAUGCCACCUGUCAUGGACACUGACAGUACAUGUUCUGGCUCUUCCAGUCCAGCUCCAGAAAUGAUUUCCCUUGGCAACAAGGGGGUGCAGGUCAGCAAAACCUGUUUCAAAAGACUCAACCGAACAAGAAUGUCCCUGUUCACACAGGACUUAGCUGUGCUCCUCUUUGGGCGGGAUGUUUUGGCAUCCUCGACUCUCACAGGAAAACCAGGGCUUACUGGAACAGUGAAAGAGCAGCUAAAUCCGGAAAAGCUGAGUGCCCUUGUUGGUAAGUAUUAGUUAAGUCUAUUUUUCCUUAUUAUCAUUUUGUUUUUAUGCCUCUACCCUUGCCUUGGCCAUAGCCAGAAGCAACAUGUUUCAGAUUGCCCUCAUGUAUGUAUGCCCCCUUCUAGCUAAUGUGAUAACUCUGCAUGAUUUGUAACACCAUUUUAUUUGUCCUUUUCUAUUUUACAGAUACAGUUAUUGCUGAAUUUCCAGGAACAAAUGUGUCUGAUGUGAGGGCAGUGAUUCAGAGAAAAUGUAACAAUGAGAAUUUUGUGAGCAAAAAGAAACAGUAAGCAGUAAAUCAGUAACUGUUUGUAAUAAUUUCUUGUUUGUUUUUUCUUUGGUGGACAUACAUUUUGAGUUUAAACAAACUGUGUAAAAGUUUAAACAAUCUGUCCACCUAUGUAAAAGUUUCAACAGUCAGUUUAAUGUUUAUUAAUGUUUUCAAAAGUCAGUUUCAGUUUAAUGUUCAUCCCUGUCAUUACUAGAAAUGGUACGAUGAAGAGAAACAGUUUGAAAAUGUUGUUAAAGAUGUAUUUUGUAUCCUGUCAUGCCGUGCAUGUUAAAAAUAAACGUUAUUUCUACCUCAAGUAUGUUCUAAAU